rnacentral:rRNA from 1 species
GAUGAACGCUGACAGAAUGCUUAACACAUGCAAGUCUACUUGAACUUCGGUUUGGGUGGCGGACGGGUGAGUAACGCGUAAAGAACUUGCCUCACAGUUAGGGACAACAUUUGGAAACGAAUGCUAAUACCUGAUAUUAUGAUUUUAGGGCAUCCUAAGAUUAUGAAAGCUAUAUGCGCUGUGAGAGAGCUUUGCGUCCCAUUAGCUAGUUGGAGAGGUAACGGCUCACCAAGGCGAUGAUGGGUAGCCGGCCUGAGAGGGUGAACGGCCACAAGGGGACUGAGACACGGCCCUUACUCCUACGGGAGGCAGCAGUGGGGAAUAUUGGACAAUGGACCAAAAGUCUGAUCCAGCAAUUCUGUGUGCACGAUGACGUUUUUCGGAAUGUAAAGUGCUUUCAGUUGGGAAGAAAAAAAUGACGGUACCAACAGAAGAAGUGACGGCUAAAUACGUGCCAGCAGCCGCGGUAAUACGUAUGUCACAAGCGUUAUCCGGAUUUAUUGGGCGUAAAGCGCGUCUAGGUGGUUAUGUAAGUCUGAUGUGAAAAUGCAGGGCUCAACUCUGUAUUGCGUUGGAAACUGUAUGACUAGAGUACUGGAGAGGUAAGCGGAACUACAAGUGUAGAGGUGAAAUUCGUAGAUAUUUGUAGGAAUGCCGAUGGGGAAGCCAGCUUACUGGACAGAUACUGACGCUAAAGCGCGAAAGCGUGGGUAGCAAACAGG